AUGAAGUGGUCAGAGGCGCUGGAUCGGCAACCAAUAUGUCUGCAACUACGGCAAGACGGCGGAGAUCGGGCACGACCGGUGCUAAAGGAGGUAUGUGAACCGGAAAUUCCAACCGACCCUAUUGUCGAGAGGUUAAAUUUAGUUGAAAGAGAAAACGAGUACUUGAAAGAAAAAUUGAAAAGAAUUGAGGGGGAGAAGAUGGAAUUGGAGUUGCAUGUUGCCGAUGUCGUCGAUGAUCACAAGAUCAAGAUGGAGAAAAUGCACUUGAAGAUUAGAAAGAUUAGAAAAUAUGCCAUCGAUAGUGAGGCUUGGUAUCAUUAUGCUGUUGGAUCAAUUGUUACCUUAGUUGCGAUCUUGAUCGCAUUUGUUGUUGCAUUUAAAUGCUUUAGCUAG
rnacentral:rRNA from 1 species